rnacentral:rRNA from 1 species
CGUUCCACAAAUAGGGACCCGUAUGAACGGCAACAUGAGAGAGGAACUGUCUCUUUAGGCCGGCCAAUGAACUUGACCUUCCUGUACAAAUGCAGGAAUACAAAAACAAGACAAAAAGACCCUGUGAAACUUCAAAUGUCCCCCAAUCCGAUGUCCAGGACACUUUCGGUUGGGGCAACCUAAGAGAAACAAAAACCUCACCACCAAUCGCACGGCAGACAGGCCAACCGAUCACACCAACAGACCCAGUACUACUGACUAAAGAACCAAGCUACUCCAGGGAUAACAGCGCCACAUUCUUGAAGAGUCCAUAUCAACAAGAAUACCUACGACCUCGAUGUUGGAUUAGGGCAUCCUAGUGGCGCAAAAGCUAUUAAGGGUUCGUUUGUUCAACGAUUAAAGC